GAUGAACGCUGGCGGCGUGCCUAAUACAUGCAAGUCGAGCGAACGGACGAGAAGCCUGCUUCUCUGAUGUUAGCGGCGGACGGGUGAGUAACACGUGGAUAACCUACCUAUAAGACUGGGAUAACUUCGGGAAACCGGAGCUAAUACCGGAUAAUAUUUUGAACCGCAUGGUUCAAAAGUGAAAGACGGUCUUUCUGUCACUUAUAGAUGGAUCCGCGCUGCAUUAGCUAGUUGGUAAGGUAACGGCUUACCAAGGCAACGAUGCAUAGCCGACCUGAGAGGGUGAUCGGCCACACUGGAACUGAGACACGGUCCAGACUCCUACGGGAGGCAGCAGUAGGGAAUCUUCCGCAAUGGGCGAAAGCCUGACGGAGCAACGCCGCGUGAGUGAUGAAGGUCUUCGGAUCGUAAAACUCUGUUAUUAGGGAAGAACAUAUGUGUAAGUAACUGUGCACAUCUUGACGGUACCUAAUCAGAAAGCCACGGCUAACUACGUG
rnacentral:rRNA from 1 species